AGUUCCUUAAUUGUUAAAGCAUUUUUUUCCAGACCUCUUAUGUUUAAGAUUGUUUGUAUGGAAUAUACAACAACACAUCCAAAUGACAGAAAAGAGGGUUUUUUGCACUAAAGACUGACGUUUUGGGUCAUGAUGGGGCAAAUGAGUAUUCAAGAUGAUUCAUGAGCAAGUUGUUUACUGAGGAUUCUAGAUGGCACGCUCUGUUCAACAUGGAGCUGAAAGUACACUGACUUGCCAUUUCUUAAUAACCUGGCCUGCAAGGGAAUUCUUACGUCAUUUGUGAGUUGACAAAACCCUGAGAAUCCAUCAUGUUCCCAACCCACUGAUUUGUUCUGAUGGGGGGCUAAGGGGAUGAAUAUGCGGCUGUGAUGAAAACUUUUUGACAAUCGUCUUGAUUCAAAAACAUUGUGUGAUUUUAGAUGCCCUUUAUCUGCAUAUUUACAUUACAAAAAUGAAAACCGUCACUCAUACCAUUGUACAAACCAUUGAGGUAACAGGACUCAAUAGGUCAAAUAUCACCUUGUUAGCGCAGCAAGUAGUGUGUCAGUCUCAUAAUCUGAAGGUCGUGAGUUCAAUCCUCACACAGGGCAGAAUUUUUCAUAGUCCGCUCUAAAGUUUAAUUGUGAGCAUUAGCAGGUAGCAAAUUCUUAGAUUAAAAAAAACAGUUCCCUUUUCUAAAUCUAAAGUUUUUGUACAAAUUUUUGUACACGGAAUUAACACAAAUGUUAAAUAAAA